ACCAUCAUGGUGUAACGGAUAACAUUACCGUCUCUCAUGGUUGAACUAGUAUACAUCUACUAGCAGGCUGUAGAACACGGUAGCUCGCGGUUCGAUUCCGCGUGAUGGUG